GGGGGCGAACUGGGUUCGACCGGAUAGUCAGAAGUGGUAGUGGCGUGUCGUGGUUGGUCAGUUGGCCACGUUAAAAGCUGACCAUAAUUUUAUUUGCCGAAGGUAACUUCGCACUGGCCGCCUAGAGAUAGGCGUCCCCGGCUGCGCACUUUUGUCGGAGAGGAGCAAAAGCUGGUCACCAAUUCCGAAUCGCUCAGAGUCAUCGUCGAGCACGCUCUGAGUUAAACUUGUUCUCGACUAGCCAGCCUGGGAUCCUGUCGGUUGGAGCUUGGGUUGGGCGAAACUUAAACAAUCGACUACACACGUAGAAGCUGCCACGGAAAUAUCACGGGACGCGGGUUCGAUUCCCGCCGCCUCCACUG
rnacentral:tmRNA from 1 species